rnacentral:rRNA from 1 species
GAGUUUGAUUAUGGCUCAGGAUGAACGCUGACAGAAUGCUUAACACAUGCAAGUCUACUUGAAUUUGGGUUUUUAACUUAGGUUUGGGUGGCGGACGGGUGAGUAACGCGUAAAGAACUUGCCUCACAGCUAGGGACAACAUUUGGAAACGAAUGCUAAUACCUAAUAUUAUGAUUUUAGGGCAUCCUAGAAUUAUGAAAGCUAUAUGCGCUGUGAGAGAGCUUUGCGUCCCAUUAGCUAGUUGGAGAGGUAACGGCUCACCAAGGCGAUGAUGGGUAGCCGGCCUGAGAGGGUGAUCGGCCACAAGGGGACUGAGACACGGCCCUUACUCCUACGGGAGGCAGCAGUGGGGAAUAUUGGACAAUGGACCAAGAGUCUGAUCCAGCAAUUCUGUGUGCACGAUGAAGUUUUUCGGAAUGUAAAGUGCUUUUCAGUUGGGAAGAAAAAAAUGACGGACCACCAGACG